GCCGUCGUAGCGCAAUGGUAGCGCGUCGCUUUCCUAUUUAGCGAGCUUAAAUAGAACAACAGGCGAAGGUUGCGAGUUCGAUCCUCGUCGUCGGUA